rnacentral:rRNA from 1 species
GUACACGCUGUGACUAGCAUAUCAAUAAGCGGAGGAAAAGAAACUAACAAGGAUUCCCCUAGUAACGGCGAGUGAAGCGGGAAGAGCUCAAAUUUGAAAUCUUAAAGGGUUUCCCUUUACGAAUUGUAGUUUAAAGAAGUGUUUUCUGUUGAGGUUUUGGUAAAAGUUCUUUGGAAUAGGACAUCAUAGAGGGUGAGAAUCCCGUAUUUGACCUUUACUUUCAACUUUGUGAUACACUUUCAAAGAGUCGGAUUGUUUGGGAAUGCAGUCCAAAAUGGGUGGUAAAUUUCAUCUAAAGCUAAAUAUUGGCGAGAGACCGAUAGCGAACAAGGUACCGUGAGGGAAAGAUGAAAAGAACUUUGAAAAGAGAGGUUAAACAGUACGUGAAAUUGUCAGAAGGGGAAGCGUUUGACACCAGUGUUGUUUUUCUGAAAAUCAAUUAAAGAACUGUUUAUGCUAAGUUGUUUAGACUUUAUCAGCUAUCUGUUUAGUUUUGAGCUUUUCUUUAAUGCACUUUUCAGUUAACAAGUCAACAUCAAUUUCUUUUGCUGUAAAAAAGCUUGAGGAAGGUGGCUUGAGAUUCGUCUUAAGUGUUUAUAGCCUCUUGCCUAUGCAGUCGGAGAGAUUGAGGUCUGCAGCGUAGAUCCUUCGGGGCUAAACUGCAUUUGUGCUAAGUUAUAGCAUUUUAUAGACAACUUGUUGACUAUGAUUUGUCUUGUAGCUUACUCGCUUAUGUUAUUUUACCUACGCUUAGGAUGUUGAAGAUGUAGCACAUCAU